GUAGAAUUAGUUUAAUGGCAAAAUAUCGUUUUGUGGCAACGAUGUUCGGAGUUCGAAUCUCUGAUUUUACC
rnacentral:tRNA from 1 species